GGACUACCCGGGUUUCUAAUCCUGUUUGAUCCCCACGCUUUCGUAUCUCAGCGUCAGUGUUGGGCCAAUUGGCCGCCUUCGCCACCGGUAUUCCACCUGAUAUCUACGUAUUUCACCACUACACCAGGUAUUCUACCAAUCUCUCCCACACUCAAGCUCUCCAGUUUCGAAUGCAAUUCCAUGGUUGAGCCAUGGGAUUUCACACCCGACUUAAAAAGCCGCCUACAUACGCUUUACGCCCAGUAAUUCCGAACAACGCUAGGACCCCUCGUCUUACCGCGGCUGCUGGCAC
rnacentral:rRNA from 1 species